rnacentral:misc_RNA from 1 species
CCUUCUGUGCACCAUCAGCUUUUCUCGCCCACGCCGCACGUCACUUCCGUGGAGCGGAGAUAACGCAACGCGUUGUGCUUUUCCGUUGUGCCUCACACGCUCGCUUCCCAAACUGUCAACCCUUCCCUGUGCAUAGAUCACACACACACACACACGCACACACAGUCGCAUUACGGCGAGGAAACGGGCGUGUCGUGCCACGAGCGCAGAUAUCUCCAACGCGUCGCUGCCCACAAAGAUGGAAGCGAUGCAGGAAAAGAGUUCCCCGGUGGGGUUCCGGUACGACUCCAUGGAGCAGCUGUGUAGCUCGCUCGGGGCUAUAAUGCCGAUCAAGCGCCUUCUUAUUGCCAACAACGGACUCGCCGCCGUGAAGGGGAUGGACUCGAUUCGAUCGUGGAUGUACGAGCACACGGGUGACUCCGAUGCGGUUCAGUUCGUGGUGAUGGCCACCCCAGAGGACCUAAAGGCGAACGCCGAAUUCAUCUCGCUCGCGGACAAGCAUAUUCCUGUUCCGGGCGGCAUGAAUAGCAACAACUACGCAAACGUGGAUGUCAUUAUGCAGACAGCGCUGCAGAACAUGUGUGACGCCAUCUACCCCGGCUGGGGCCACGCCUCCGAGAACCCGGCACUGCCGCGCGAGUGCAUGAAGUCAAAACGCGUCACCUUUCUUGGCCCGUCUGAAGAUGCCAUGUUUGCGUUGGGAGACAAGAUCGCCUCAACGAUUGUGGCGCAGUCCAACGGUGUACCGACGGUUCCGUGGAGCGGCGACAGCAUUCGCCUCCCCCCAAAGACCUUCUCUGUGGACGCCGCAGCGUACGAGAAGGCGUACGUGAACUCGCCGGAGGAGUGCGAGGAGGUGUGCCGCCGCAUCGGCUUCCCCGUGAUGAUCAAGGCGUCUGAAGGCGGUGGUGGCAAGGGUAUCCGCAGCUGCAAGUGUCUGAAGGACGUCAAGAGCUUGUUCUUCGCUGUGUCCGAGGAGGUGAAAGGCUGCCACAUCUUUGUGAUGCGCAUGCUGGAGAAUGUGCGUCACCUGGAGGUGCAGCUGCUUGCCGACUGCUACGGCAACUGCAUCGCCGUGCGCACGCGUGACUGCAGCGUGCAGCGGCGCCACCAAAAGAUUAUCGAGGAGGGCCCCGCCUUCGGGGUCGAUCCCGCCAUCAUCACGGCAAUGGAAAGAGCGGCCAUUCAGCUGGCCUGCGCGGUGAAAUACUGCGGUCUCGGCACGGUGGAGUACAUGUACGACAAGGAGACGCACAAGUUUUACUUUUUGGAGCUGAACCCGCGCAUCCAGGUCGAACACCCCGUCUCGGAGAUGAUCUCGGGCGUGAAUCUGCCGGCUGCCCUCUUCUGCGUCGGCAUGGGCAUCCCGCUCGACCGCAUUCCGGAGGUGCGCGCCUUCUACGGCGAGGACCCGUACGGCACCACCCCGAUCGACUUCUCGGCCCGCCAGAGCGUACCGCCGAAGUGCCAUACGAUCGCUGUGCGCGUGACGGCCGAGGAUACGGACGAAGGCUUCCGGCCGACCUCCGGCAAGGUGGAGGAGAUUGCCUUCAAGAACAGCAAGGAGUGCUGGGGCUACUUCUCCGUCGGCUCAGGCGGUGAGAUUCACCAGUACGCCGACUCGCAGUUUGGCCACAUCUUUUCCUCCGGCGAGACCCGCGAGGAUGCGCGCCGCGGGAUGGUGCUUGCGCUCCGCAAACUUGUCGUCCGCGGCGAAAUCCGCACGUCGACGUCGUACGCCAUGGAGCUGCUAGAGACGUCGGCCUUCCGCGACUGUGAUGUGAGCACGGCUUGGCUGGACGGCAUGAUCGCCAAGAAAGCGGCCGAAGCGCCGGCGCACCAGCGCAGCAUCCACUCCGCGCUGAUCGCCGCCAGCAUCUACCGCAACAUGCGCUGGAUGCAGGAACACAAGGACAAGUACAUCGCCUUCCUCGCCGCCGGCCACGUGCCGUCCACGGAGUAUCUCUCCAACCUUCACACCGAGUCCUACGUGAGCCGCUCGGAGAAGUACACGCUGAGCGCCGGUAUGGUGAGCCUGAACGAGUACGCCAUCUCCUUGAACGGCAGUAUCGUGCUGGUGCCGUACCGCAUCCUCACGUCCGGUGCCCUGCAACUGACCAUCGGCGACAAGACGCUGGUCGCCUACGUCGCCGAGGAGCCGAACAGCCUGCGCAUCACCAUCGGCGGCAAAGUGACGAACUUCUCCGGCGACGUUGACCCGACGAAAAUUAUGGCCAGCGUCCCCGGCCGCCUGGUGCGCUACGUCAUCGACGAUGACGGCCACGUCAACGAGGGCGACGCGUUUGCCGAGUUGGAGGUAAUGAAGAUGAUUCUGCCGCUGCGGGCCAGGACUACCGGUACGCUGCAUCACCGUGCCGUGCCCGGCACGACCAUCGCGAUGGGCUCGCUGCUGGCCGAGAUCACCCCGGACGACCCGAGCAAGGUCGCGCGACCGAAGGAGAUCGAAGACCCGUGGCCGACAGAGCUGCUUGUCGCCCGUCAGUACGAGCGACCAGACGGCGUGACGCGCGCGCGCCGCGCCGCGGAGUCGCUGUGGUUGCUUGUCAACGGCUUCCAUUUCAAGGAGAUUCCGAUCGAGGAGCGGGUGCGCAGGGCAUUCGCCGACCUCGCCUCGCUGGGUCUCUCGUCGGUCACGCUCAAGGCGGUCCACCUGCCCUUCAUUCCUGCCGAGAUAUGCGACGAGACGGAGGCGCGCCCGCAGACGCCGAGCGAGAAGUACCGCGCCAUCAUCGACGCCAUUGUGGACCGCUACGUCACCGUGGAGCAGCCCUUUGACGGGCACAGCCGGCAAGAGGCGAUCGAGGGGCUGCGCAACACCCUCGACGACAACGAGGCCGUCUUCCAGAUAGACUUUGCGCACAACCAGGAAUGCCACCACUACGUAAUGCGCAGCGUGCUGAAAUACCUCGAGAGCAACGCGCUGCUUCUCAAGUCUCUGAAAGGGACGCUGUCGAAGUUGGUCACCCUCAAGUCCUUCGCGUAUGGCUCACUGCUGUUGCAGGCGCGCUACCUGCUCCGCAUGUGCUCCUUGCCGUCCUUCACGGAGCGCAAGGCGCAGUUCGCGGAGGCCCUGGAGGAGGGCAGCCUGCGUAGCCUCGUCGCCAGCGGUUUCGGCUACGACCUCCUCUGCUCCAUCAUGUUCGACCGUCAGAUGGAGCACCUAGUGCACAUAUGCCUCGAGCUGUUCAUUCGCCGUGAGUACUCUGGCGAGAGCGAGAUCAAGGACCUGGACAUUUUGAAGCAGGGCACCAACUGGUACGCCAGCUACAACUUCGACCCCAUCGAGGAUGCGGAGGUGCUGCACAUGAGCGACGAGCUGGCUGUGGGGUCGCGAAGAAUAAUCGGUGGGCGGGGCAUCUGCGUCAUGCUGCCCGAUGAGAAGCUGCUCCAGUCGACGCUGGCCUCGUCGUUCCGCGAUGUUGUGUCACACUACAGCGACGACAUCGUCAUCGCAACCGUCUUCUUCUCCGUCUCGCGCGAGUCGACGCAGUCAGACGUGGCGCGCAUGUGUCGCCUGCUGAUGGAGGAGAACGCGGCCGUCUUUCAGAAGUUCGAAAAGCUCGAGACGGUGUACUUCAUGGCACAUGGGAUGCCGGAGGGGCCGCAUUUCUUCACGUUCCGGGCGGAGACGGGCUUCCAGGAGGACACACUGCUGCGCAACGUGCUGCCACAGUCGGCGCGUCGGCUGGAACUCGACCGGCUGUCGAACUACGAGGUGAGCAUGCACCCGACACCCUACAAGGAUGUACACGUGUUCAAGGCGGCCCCCAAGAAGGCUGGCGCGUCCGCGCUGGAGCACCGCAUGUUCGCGCGUGUGGCGGUGACGCCUCACGACAUGGGCAUGACUCCCUGGACGGAGGUGACGGACGUGGAUGUGGGCCACAUGCUGGCUAAGUGCCUGGCAGCGCUGCAGGUAGCCCGCGACGACUCGACGGUGAAGUUUCCGGACAGCAAUCACGUGUUCGUAAAGAUGAUUGAGCUGACCUUCGACGUCCGCUCGCUGCAGCCCCUGCUGGUGGCGGCGGCCAGCUCGUACCAGGAGAAGCUGACGGAGUUGGGUGUGCGGGAUGUGGAAGUAUCCUUUCACGUGAAGGUGCCGUCGGGUCUCAUUCCAAUGCGUGUCAUCGCCAAGAGCCCGUCUGGCUAUGGCGUGUCGGUGCAUGUCUACUACGAGUCACUGUCGAACGGCCAGCUGCAGCUGCACCGUGCCGAGACGUCUGAGGACGUCGACUACUCGUCCACGGGCCGCUCCGCCGAGUCCCUGCUGGAGAUGAGCCUCACCUCCCCUAUGAUGCCGGCGCCGCGCGGGACGCCGCAUCUGAUGCGCACCGCGUCGAAGCUGGGGGACCUGCGCGAGAUGCUGCCGUCCGAAAAAGAGCAGCAAAUUUCCGUCGAUAUGAUGUCGGAGCCGACGGAGACGCGCCACCGCGCCAUCACUCUCGGGCCGUACCCACAGCUUGAAGCGCGUGACGUGAAGCGCCUGCAGGCACGCCGCGCCGGCACGACGUACGUGCACGACUGGCCGGCCGUGCUGAACCUUAUCCUACGUAAGGAGUGGAUGAAGCUGCGCUGCGCGCUGGAUCUGCCUCACACCUCCAUCCCAAAGAACCCGCUGCGCGCCACGGAGCUCUUUCUUUGCGAGGACGGGGAAUUGCUGUCGACGAGAAGGACCUUCGCGCAGUCGUGUGGCAUGGUGGUGUGGAUGGUCGAGUACGCGCCGCCGCGCUACUUCGAUAUGGAGUUGAAGACGGCACAGACGCGCCGCAUCGUGGUCGUCGCCAAUGACAUCACCUUUCAGUCCGGAUCCUUCGCCGUCCCGGAGGACUGCGUCUUCAAGGCCGCCUCGGUGCUUGCCCGCGCGCAGCACGUGCCGUUUGUGUACAUUAGCACCAACAGCGGCGCACGUCUUGGCCUCAGCACCGAGGUCAAGAAGAGGUUCCUCGUCGAGUUCACGGAGAAGAAUGAUAUAGCCUACCUGUACCUCACCAAGAGCGACUACGAGGAGCUGAGGGAACGGAAGAAGAUUCAGAUGGAGGCGGAGCCGCUUGAGGUGAAAGGCGAAACGCGGUACGUGAUAAAAGGCGUGGUGGGCGGGCCGACGGAGUACAUCGGCGUUGAAAACCUGAGCGGGUCCGGUCUCGUGGCGGGUGAGAUGUCGAAGAACUACAGCGAGAUCCCGACCAUCAGCCUCGUCUCGGGGCGCAGUGUCGGCAUCGGCGCCUACCUGAACCGUCUUGGCCGCCGCGUCAUCCAGACGAACGACUCGCCUCUCAUCCUGACUGGCGCCGGUGCUCUCAACCGACUGCUCGGCAAGGACGUGUACAUGGGCAACAGCCAGCUCGGCGGCAAGCAGAUUAUGGUGCCGAACGGUGUCACGCACUGGUGCACACACCACGACUACGGCUCUGCCCGCGUGCUGCUGCGGUGGCUCGACUACGUGCCGGCUGUCCUGCACCCUCGGCGCUGCACACCGCAUCGCCUGCUCUGGGCCUCUGCCGACCCGAUCGAUCGCGACGUGACCUUCUGCCCGACGUCGAACACGCAGUACGACCCGCGCCUCCUCGUGACGGGACUGCUCAGUCAGACGGGCCUGUUCGACCGCGGCUCGUGGAUGGAGACGCUGGAGGGGUGGGCACGUACGGUGGUGGUCGGCCGCGCCACGCUCGGCGGCAUCCCCUGCGGCGUUAUCCUUGUUGAGACGCGCCUGACGAAGAAGUUCGACCCGGCAGAUCCGGCUGACCCGACCUCGACGUCUUCUUUUAUUACGCAGGCGGGCCAGGUGUGGUUUCCCGACUCGGCACGCAAGACGGCCGACGCCCUCGAUGACUUCCACCAUGAACGGCUGCCAUGCUUCAUCCUGGCGAACUGGCGCGGCUUCUCGGGUGGCAUGCGCGACAUGUUUGACGAAGUGCUGAAGUUUGGCGCCUCCAUCGUCGACAACCUCCGCGUCUACACUGCGCCGGUCUUCAUCUACAUUCCGCCAGGGGGCGAGCUGCGAGGUGGGGCCUGGGUGGUCGUGGACCCGACGAUCAACCACAACGGCGUCGUCGAGAUGUACUGCGACCCGUCCUCGCGCGGUGGCAUCCUUGAGCCGUCUGGUGUGGUAGAGAUCAAGUUUCGCGACGACGACGUGCUGCAGCUGAUUCGGCGCAGUCGGCCGGACCUCGCAGCGAUGGAGGCGAAGGCGGCCCGUGAGGCCGAGAAAGAGCUGCUGCCGCAUUACCGCGACGUUGCGGUGCGCUUCGCCGAUCUGCAUGACACGUACGUGCGGAUGAAAGCGACCGGUGUGGUGCGCGACGUCGUCCCGUGGAAAGAUAGCCGCCGCCACUUCUACCACAAGCUGCAACGCAAACUGAAGGAGCUGGAGGUGGCGAACGAUAUGCUCGAGGUCGGCGUCGUCGACUCCCUUGCAGGGGGCGUUCGCAAGGUCGAGGAGUGCUACUCGGUGGCGCACCCCAACGGACCGGCGUGGGGCACGGCCGACCAGGAUCAACUGAAGUGGCUGCAGGGUCUCGAUGGCACCUGGGUUGGGGAGAGCAACGGCCACGCGGCUCUGAACAACAGCGAAUGGGCGAAGGAACUGCAGCGCCUGCUCACCCAGCACGGCGGUGAGGAGAGCUCGAUGGAGCGCGCGCUGGCGAAACUCUUCGAGAACCCGGCAAUCGCCAAGGCCGCGAAGGUAGCCUUGGACUCGUCGGCCUGUGCGCACAGCACGGCUGAAUAGAUGCGGGCUGAUUUCGUUCGCUCGAGCGUGCGUGAUGAGGAGAGAGGAGGGUGUCCUGCGCGAUGCGGCUGUUUUGAAUUUGUUGCUGUUUAUCUCUUUUCUCUCUGUGCUUCUAACUUAAAAUAUACAAUACAGGGGGGUGGGAAGGGAAGAGUCCACUUCGUCGGGGCGCUGCCGAUGGGACGUGGCGACGCUUCGUGUCGACGGCUUUGUGGGUGGUGUGGCGCAGUAGAGGGUACCGCGAUCUCCUUUGUUUUCUCUGUCUUUGUGCGUCUGCAUCCACAGCGGCGUGUCGGCACGUUCCGAGCACAGCGCUGCGGUUUGCGAACAUAUACCUCCCCUGUCAGCUCGGGAUUCUCCCCAUCUUCCGCGCGUGGUCGUCUCCCGCUCUGUCUUUCUCUCUACUCAUAUACAUUUCUCCUGUUGUAAAUGUUUUGCAUCAUCUGUGUCACUGCGCAG